UACGUAGGGUGCAAGCGUUGUCCGGAAUUAUUGGGCGUAAAGAGCUCGUAGGCGGUCUGUCGCGUCGGCUGUGAAAACCCGGGGCUCAACCCCGGGCCUGCAGUCGAUACGGGCAGACUAGAGUGCGGUAGGGAGACUGGAAUUCCUGGUGUAGCGGUGAAAUGCGCAGAUAUCAGGAGGAACACCGGUGGCGAAGGCGGGUCUCUGGGCCGUAACUGACGCUGAGGAGCGAAAGCGUGGGGAGCGAACAGG
rnacentral:rRNA from 1 species